GUGUCGUGGCCGAGUGGCUAGGCUCAGCUCUGCAAAAGCUGCUACAGCGGUUCGAAUCCGCUCGACACCUCAAC
rnacentral:tRNA from 1 species